rnacentral:rRNA from 1 species
GGAUUUUGGGCGUAAGGGCUCGCAGGCGGUUUCUUAAGUCUGAUGUGAAAGCCCCCGGCUCAACCGGGGAGGGUCAUUGGAAACUGGGGAACUUGAGUGCAGAAGAGGAGAGUGGAAUUCCACGUGUAGCGGUGAAAUGCGUAGAGAUGUGGAGGAACACCAGUGGCGAAGGCGACUCUCUGGUCUGUAACUGACGCUGAGGAGCGAAAGCGUGGGGAGCGAACAGGAUUAGAUACCCUGGUAGUCCACGCCGUAAACGAUGAGUGCUAAGUGUUAGGGGGUUUCCGCCCCUUAGUGCUGCAGCUAACGCAUUAAGCACUCCGCCUGGGGAGUACGGUCGCAAGACUGAAACUCAAAGGAAUUGACGGGGGCCCGCACAAGCGGUGGAGCAUGUGGUUUAAUUCGAAGCAACGCGAAGAACCUUACCAGGUCUUGACAUCCUCUGACAAUCCUAGAGAUAGGACGUCCCCUUCGGGGGCAGAGUGACAGGUGGUGCAUGGUUGUCGUCAGCUCGUGUCGUGAGAUGUUGGGUUAAGUCCCGCAACGAGCGCAACCCUUGAUCUUAGUUGCCAGCAUUCAGUUGGGCACUCUAAGGUGACUGCCGGUGACAAACCGGAGGAAGGUGGGGAUGACGUCAAAUCAUCAUGCCCCUUAUGACCUGGGCUACACACGUGCUACAAUGGACAGAACAAAGGGCAGCGAAACCGCGAGGUUAAGCCAAUCCCACAAAUCUGUUCUCAGUUCGGAUCGCAGUCUGGCACUCGACUGCGUGAAGCUGGAAUCGCUAGUAAUCGCGGAUCAGCAUGCCGCGGUGAAUACGUUCCCG